GGGGCCUGUAGCUCAAUGGUUAGAGCCGGCCGCUCAUAACGGUCUGGUUGCAGGUUCGAGUCCUGCCGGGCCCA
rnacentral:tRNA from 1 species